AGAGUUUGAUCAUGGCUCAGGAUGAACGCUAGCUACAGGCUUAACACAUGCAAGUCGAGGGGAAACGACAUCGAAAGCUUGCUUUUGAUGGGCGUCGACCGGCGCACGGGUGAGUAACGCGUAUCCAACCUGCCCACCACUUGGGGAUAACCUUGCGAAAGUAAGGCUAAUACCCAAUGAUAUCUCUAGAAGGCAUCUGAAAAGAGAUUAAAGAUUUAUCGGUGAUGGAUGGGGAUGCGUCUGAUUAGCUUGUUGGCGGGUAACGGCCACCAAAGCAACGAUCAGUAGGGGUUCUGAGAGGAAGGUCCCCCACAUUGGAACUGAGACACGGUCCAAACGUCCUACGGGAGGCA
rnacentral:rRNA from 1 species